CACGUAGGCGGAUAUUUAAGUCAGGGGUGAAAUCCCAGAGCUCAACUCUGGAACUGCCUUUGAUACUGGGUAUCUUGAGUAUGGAAGAGGUAAGUGGAAUUCCGAGUGUAGAGGUGAAAUUCGUAGAUAUUCGGAGGAACACCAGUGGCGAAGGCGGCUUACUGGUCCAUUACUGACGCUGAGGUGCGAAAGCGUGGGGAGCAAGCA
rnacentral:rRNA from 1 species